rnacentral:rRNA from 1 species
UAUAGGAGGUCCAGCCUGCCCAGUGACUACGAGUUUAACGGCCGCGGUAUUUUGACCGUGCAAAGGUAGCGCAAUCACUUGUCUUUUAAAUAGAGACCUGUAUGAAUGGCCAAACGAGGGCUUAGCUGUCUCCCCUUUCCAGUCAGUGAAAUUGAUCUACCCGUGCAGAAGCGGGUAUAAUAAUACAAGACGAGAAGACCCUUUGGAGCUUAAGGUACAAAGCUUAACCACGUAAGCAACUCGAUGAAAAGCAAAAACUUUGUGGAAAAUGAGAUUUUACCUUCGGUUGGGGCGACCACGGAGGAAAAUGAAGCCUCCAAGUGGACUGGGACAAACCUCCUAAAACCAAGAGAGACAUCUCUAAGCCACAGAACAUCUGACCAAAUAUGAUCCGGCUAACAANNGGCCGAUCAACGAACCAAGUUACCCUAGGGAUAACAGCGCAAUCCUCUCCCAGAGUCCAUAUCGACGAGAGGGUUUACGACCUCGAUGUUGGAU